rnacentral:rRNA from 1 species
GAUGAACGCUGGCGGCGUGCCUAAUACAUGCAAGUCGAGCGAACAGAUGAGGAGCUUGCUCCUCUGACGUUAGCGGCGGACGGGUGAGUAACACGUGGAUAACCUACCUGUAAGACUGGGAUAACUUCGGGAAACCGGAGCUAAUACCGGAUAAUAUAUUGAACCGCAUGGUUCAAUAGUGAAAGACGGUUUUGCUGUCACUUAUAGAUGGAUCCGCGCCGCAUUAGCUAGUUGGUAAGGUAACGGCUUACCAAGGCAACGAUGCGUAGCCGACCUGAGAGGGUGAUCGGCCACACUGGAACUGAGACACGGUCCAGACUCCUACGGGAGGCAGCAGUAGGGAAUCUUCCGCAAAGGGCGAAAGCCUGACGGAGCAACGCCGCGUGAGUGAUGAAGGUCUUCGGAUCGUAAAACUCUGUUAUUAGGGAAGAACAAAUGUGUAAGUAACUAUGCACGUCUUGACGGUACCUAAUCAGAAAGCCACGGCUAACUACGUG